rnacentral:rRNA from 1 species
UACAGAGGGUGCAAGCGUUAAUCGGAAUUACUGGGCGUAAAGCGUGCGUAGACGGUUAUGUAAGUCAGAUGUGAAGGCCCCGGGCUCAACCUGGGAAUUGCAUUUGAGACUGCAUAGCUAGGGUGCGGAAGAGGGAAGCGGAAUUUCCGGUGUAGCGGUGAAAUGCGUAGAUAUCGGAAGGAACACCAGUGGCGAAAGCGGCUUCCUGGUCCAGCACCGACGUUCAGGCACGAAAGCGUGGGGAGCAAACAGG